CGUUCGGCGCUUCGGCAGCAACGGCGCGAAGGGUGUGGGCGUCGCUCGAGGUGCAGAGAACGGCGGCUCGGCGUCAAGGAGAAAGGGCAGACUUGCAGGUGGCUUUGGCGGCGAGCUGCUCCCUCGGCUUCUCCAAAUCUGGGUUUCGGGGAAGACAGUGGCGGUCUCGGUUGGUCGAGCGGCGUCGGGUUGGGGCGGCGAGGAGGACAGCGGCUCGGAUGGCGU
rnacentral:lncRNA from 1 species